AGAGUUUGAUCCUGGCUCAGAACGAACGCUGGCGGCGCGCCUAAUACAUGCAAGUCGAGCGAGAAGACGUAGCAAUACGUUUGUAAAGCGGCGAACGGGUGAGGAAUACAUGGGUAACCUACCCUCGAGUGGGGAAUAACUAACCGAAAGGUUAGCUAAUACCGCAUACGACUCCUGGUCUGCGGAUCGGGAGGGAAAGCGAUACCGUGGGUAUCGCGCUCUUGGAUGGGCUCAUGUCCUAUCAGCUUGUUGGUGAGGUAACGGCUCACCAAGGCUUCGACGGGUAGCUGGUCUGAGAGGACGAUCAGCCACACUGGCACUGCGACACGGGCCAGACUCCUACGGGAGGCAGCAGUAAGGAAUAUUGCGCAAUGGGCGACAGCCUGACGCAGCGACGCCGCGUGGGGGAUGAAGGUCUUCGGAUUGUAAACCCCUUUCGGCAGGGAAGAUGGAACGGGUAACCGUUCGGACGGUACCUGCAGAAGCAGCCACGGCUAACUUCGUGCCAGCAGCCGCGGUAAUACGAAGGUGGCAAGCGUUGUUCGGAUUUACUGGGCGUACAGGGAGCGUAGGCGGUUGGGUAAGCCCUCCGUGAAAUCUCCGGGCCUAACCCGGAAAGUGCGGAGGGGACUGCUCGGCUAGAGGAUGGGAGAGGAGCGCGGAAUUCCCGGUGUAGCGGUGAAAUGCGUAGAGAUCGGGAGGAAGGCCGGUGGCGAAGGCGGCGCUCUGGAACAUUUCUGACGCUGAGGCUCGAAAGCGUGGGGAGCAAACAGGAUUAGAUACCCUGGUAGUCCACGCCU
rnacentral:rRNA from 1 species